CAAAAGCCUAACAAUUAUGUUAAGGUGAUCUUAUCCCCUUAUCUAUUUCUAAUUUAUAUAAAGGGUCCUCUCAACUUUGCUAACUUGUGUUAAGGGAAGUUAGAACGAUCCCAGAGUUCAUCUCUUAUAUUUUUAAGAUGAUAGCUUACCAUUUGUAAGGAUUAGUUGGGCAUAUGCAUAACGAGUGAAGGGCGAUUUACAGCUCUAGUAGUUGGGUAAGCAUGAGGAGUGAGGUUGGGUGAUGUUGGACUGGGUCAUCAUUUGACGAUCAAAUGGUAUGGGAGGGUUUGGUUUUCAAGUGUUAAAUUGUUUAACCUUGCCCUUUUGGGGAGACAAGCAUGGAAAUUUAUGCAUAACAAGGAAACCUAUUGCUCCAAAGUGCUUUCAUCGAAAGAAUUUCCAAAUGGGAAUGUUUUGAAAGCUAAGCAUGUUUGAUAAACCUUCAUUCGCAUGGUCCAGUAUUUUAGCUGCUAUUCAUGCCUUGAAACUGAGAUUCUUUUGGGGGGAUAAAGAUGACAAUACAACUAGAAUAUAACA